rnacentral:rRNA from 1 species
UACGGGGGGGGCAAGCGUUGUUCGGAAUUACUGGGCGUAAAGGGCUCGUAGGCGGCCAACUAAGUCAGACGUGAAAUCCCUCGGCUUAACCGGGGAACUGCGUCUGAUACUGGACGGCUUGAGUAUGGGAGAGGGAUGUAGAAUUCCAGGUGUAGCGGUGAAAUGCGUAGAUAUCUGGAGGAAUACCGGUGGCGAAGGCGGCAUCCUGGACCGACACUGACGCUGAGGAGCGAAAGCCAGGGGAGCAAACGGG